rnacentral:rRNA from 1 species
UACGUAGGGGGCAAGCGUUAUCCGGAAUUACUGGGUGUAAAGGGUGCGUAGGUGGCAUGGUAAGUCAGAAGUGAAAGCCCGGGGCUUAACCCUGGGACUGCUUUUGAAACUGUCAUGCUGGAGUGCAGGAGAGGUAAGCGGAAUUCCUAGUGUAGCGGUGAAAUGCGUAGAUAUUAGGAGGAACACCAGUGGCGAAGGCGGCUUACUGGACUGUCACUGACACUGAUGCACGAAAGCGUGGGGAGCAAACAGG